GAUGAAGAACGCAGCGAAAUGCGAUACGUAGUGUGAAUUGCAGAAUUCAGUGAAUCAUCGAAUCUUUGAACGCACAUUGCACCUCUCGGUAUUCCGGGAGGUAUGCCUGUUCGAGCGUCAUUUGUACCCUCAAGCUCUGCUUGGUGUUGGGUGUUUGUUCCGCCUCUGUGUGUGAACUCGCCUCAAAACAAUUGGCAGCCGGCGUACUUGUUUCGGAGCGCAGCACAUUUUGCGAUCCAGAUCAACGUACAGCGGCAUCCAAGAAGCCUUAUUUAACGCUCUUGACCUCGGAUCAGGUAGGGAUACCCGCUGAACUUAAGCAUAUCAAAAGCGAGGA
rnacentral:misc_RNA from 1 species